rnacentral:lncRNA from 1 species
CCUAAUGUAAUUAUAAAUGCAGAAAUGCAAAUCCAUAUACCCAUGGUUUCUACUUGUGAAAUGCAUAGAUUAACAAAAAUUAAAGUUAGAUCCUAUUGGCAUGGUUUCUACUUGUGAAAUGUAUUGAUUAACAGUAAAAGUCCUAUAGGCAUGGUUUUCUUUUUGUGCAUGAAAUUAAAUCCCUUCCUUUUUACUAGAUUCCCCGAGUUUAUACAAAUUAUUACAUACCAAAAAAGUAGGAAAAAAAACAUCAAAAAUUAAGCAGCAUCCAAGGAACCUAAUGCAAACUCAGUAUCUAACAAUAUGAGAUUCAACCACUUCCGAGAUCCAAAUUUUCAAAGCCUUCUCUUUAUCCAGAGUGUUUCAAAGUUCCAAGGAAUUUCAGGAAUUUUAGGCAUUAAUUACACCCAAGAUACCAAUUAGAAAGAGUUAUAGUAUAGUGUGGAAGAGUCAGUCCUCAGGUGUCCAAGUUCAGAGGGAGCUCAUGGGUCCCAAAUCAUGACUCACAAGAGGGGCAGAACUUAAUGUUCUAAGAAUGAGUGUAAGUACAAAAUGGGUUGGGAAAUACCAUAACAAGUUGGUGGUCAUGCCCAGCCACAAAGUAGGCUGGCACACCCCUGAUCAAAACUUGUCCAGCCACACAAAUAAGAGCACAAACCUAUUGAAUGUUAGACUAUGGUCUGGACAGUGAUUAGGACACUGCCAGACCAAGAUCUUGGGCUCAAGGUGCACAAAGGGGGAAAGGAAUGAGAAUUGAUAAAGUUUAGGAUUCAGAGAAUCCAGUCCAUGUACAUGAUCAACAAUAUUAAAUUUUGUCAUGCUUUCUGAACCAUAACUCAACAUAUAAAAGAGUUUAGGGAUGGGGAGUUCAUAUAAGAGCAGGAAUAACAAAUUGCAGAAAGUAGUAGUAAACUCACAGAGAACUGAAGUGUGAACACAUAGGAGAGAGACAGUAUUAAACUAAAAGAGAGAUACCAGUUGCAAAAGUAAACAGGAAGAGAAGCAGAACACUUGCAAUCACAACGCAAAGAAAGCUAACUUGUAAUUUCAGAGAAAACUCAAAUGCUUUUUUAGAGAACUUAAGAGUGCUUGAGAAAGAGAAGUAGUGAGUUAUAUGUGUGUGUGUUCAUUAGAACUUGUUUUUUUUAAAGAGAAGAGUGUAGGUAUUUAUAACUUUGAAAACGUUUAGAGAGUAAGGUAAUAAGUAAAAGUUAAACACAAAUAUAAAAACAAUCACAAGUUAGAAUAAAUUAACCCCAGUUAUUCCCCUUUAAUUAAGGAAACACUACUUAAGGGGUAGGAGAAGGUUUAACUAACGAAAGAAAAUCAGUUCGGGGGGCAAAUUAAUUAUUGUUAUAAAAAGGGUAGUAAAAGAAUGAAGCAAAUAAUCGAGUCCAAAUACGAAAUAAGCUUAUUUUGGGAAAGGAUUCAGCAAGGUAAAAUAUCAAGUAAAGGGAAAGGAAUCAAUUAAUUUUAAACAGGCGAGUGAAAUUAGGGCUCGUAAAAGAAAAGCUUUUCACAAUCAGUCACAAGAUCAAAAGGAAUCAUGAUCAAUCAAAAAAGGAACAUGAUUUUGCACUUCACCAUAUAAUUUGCAGGGGAUGGACAAGCAUGCAAAGUUAUACAUGUUGAUAAAAAGAAGCAACAUAAAUAUACAGUAGCAGUUGAGGUAAGAUAGCAUUCAGCAGCAAGAAAAUAUUCGAAGCACAGUAGUCAAGUAGGUCAAGUAGUCACAUAGGAUCAAAAGUGAAGCAGAACAUAGUAUUAGAUAAGAGAAAUUAGAAGUAACUAAAGGUCUCAGAGUAGCAAUAAGUGAGAAAGCUUCUAAAAAAUUUAGGGCUUUAACAAUAGCCGAGUUUUGAAAGAUGGAAAGAACUCAAAAUUAAACAAGUCAAACGAAGAAGAGAGAGUCAGCAACAAAGAACAAGUGCACAUUUAAACAAACAAUUUCAUAACUCGGAUAAAACUAAAAGGAACUAGGGUUUUUAACAUGCUGAAAUAGACAGAAAAACGACAUAUAGCCAAAUCAUAAACAAGUUAAAAUCAGAGAUCUUUUUGAAAACUUAAAGGAAAACCCUAAUGAAGGGUCAAUUUUGCAAGAAAGGUUGAAGAACUUUUGACAAACACUUAAAACAUUCAUGACAAGCACAGAUCUAAAGCAGAUCUGAAAGAAAAAAAUAAAAAAAUCCCAAAGAUUAUGGAUUCGAAGAACCUAGAAAGGUGAGAAAGGCUUUCAAAAUUAACUAUCUAACCAGGAGAGUCAAGGAUCUGACUCGAACGAACACGGCUGGCCAGAGAAAAGUCAGGGAUGACCAGAGAAAGCCAUGAACGGAAGUCAAGCAAGGACUGGACCAACUUCCUUUGAGAUCUGGCCAUGAAACCACAGAAGUGAACACCCAGGAGCCACAUGAGGCCAUUACACAUCUCUGAUGGCCAUGGGAGGCCAUGGAUUAGGGUGGGAUUGGAAGGUUGUGGCUAGGGUUCACGAGGGCUUCAGAGAGAGUUGAGAGAGAAGAGAAAUUCAAGGGCGGAGUUUGGUGAAUAAUAGGGUAGGGCAAGAGGUCG